GAAGAAGGAGGAACCUGCCUUAGUGUCAAGUAACCAGAAAGAGAAGUCAGUGUAGCUUAGGCCGGUCUAUGAAUCUGGAUGCUCUGAGAGCAGGGGAUGAGACCACUAGACUUAGAACUCCCAGCUUUUUUGAGGGUGGUUCUGCUGUGCCUGGGUACUACCUGAGGUUUCUGAGCUGUUAUUUCUCUGGGUCUCCUCUUUCAACCACAGAGACUGUAUGGCCAGGUCUGGGUUGUCAUAGAGGACAGAAAUAUGGCCAGGCCUGGGACCUGUCCAUGAGAGGUGGUUGAGAGAGGUAGGUCUGAGUACAGAUCAGCACCCCAAAGUGUAAGAGGCAGGGGCACAAGGGAUGAGGGUGUGAUGUUCAGGCAAGGUUGCAGAGAGGUGACCACUUGGAGCCCUUCCAGAACUUUUG
rnacentral:lncRNA from 1 species